CCAUCAGGGCAUGGGAGGUUUUGUGCCCCAAAGUGAUACGCUUAGCCGCUAACAUGCAAGAAUGUACGGCAAUUCAAGAUGCUCUAGCAAAGUUGACGUGCGUGCACCAUUGAGUUUGUAACAGCCGAGUCUCACAGUAUGUUGAGUUUAUUCUGCCUCUACUACAUGCUAACUGACACCCGAUUUAAGGCAGACCACAAGAGAAUUAUUCUGACAGAGGAUGACUCAACAGAGCGGAGUGAAUUAACUGCCCAGCCUCUUCUGUGGAUAAAUGGGCAUUCCUCCAGCGAGGUUCAAGUGACGAAGCUCUUUGUCGAGAGGGAUCUACUGGCAACAUUUCCACCAAAGAUGGCACCUCUUGUGCUCCUGAGUAUACAUUUUAUGUAUUUAAUCUGUCUUUCAC